GCUACUGAACAUAAGCUUUUAAAAAUUUUCAUUAAAGUGAAUUCAUUGUUGUAGUAUCACAUAGAUAUCUACCACACAAAUGCAAGCCAGUAUUAGACCAUCACAGAUUAUUUUAUGAGCAGUAAAAACAUAGCAACAGGUUACAAUGUUUCUCUUUUAAGCAUAAUCCUUGCCAAAGUACCAAAGAUGAAAAGGAUAAAAUCUUGAAUAUGAAGCAAAACAGCAGUUGCAGAGAUGUUGAGAAGCUCGAAUAUGAAGAAAAACAGGAUGCCUAGGUGAAAAAAAAAGUGAAAAAAUGUGAACAUUAUUUCAUAAUUAUUUCAAAAAUGAAAGAGAAUAAGAGAUGCAAAAAAUAAAACUCACCACCGCUGGAGUAUAGG
rnacentral:lncRNA from 1 species